CCACCGGGUAGACAGUUGUUC
rnacentral:miRNA from 1 species